rnacentral:lncRNA from 1 species
GUAGGGUCCCAACUCUGGGAGGACGGAACUGCUUUGCUGAGCUUUCCCCUAGCAUGCUAGUGAUAGUGUGCUAGGAAUAAAGGCUUUCCCUUGCUUGAAUUGCAUUGUCUUUGUGUGCUACUUGGGUGGUCUGCAACUCGGACCCUAACAUUUGUGGACUCGUCCAUGUGACCCCCUGAGGACCACCGUGACAAGGGAAGCUCUUUUUCCAAGUCCUGUGACAAUUCUUGAGAGUUUUUCAGGUCCAGACAAUCAAGAGAAAAAAUAAAACAAGCCCUAAUGUGGAGCAUUUGCUGAUUUCUGAGGUUCUGUUCCUCCAACUGUGGAGUUUUUGCAACCUGGUGAUUGGGUCUCCUGGAAAAGAAAUCUCUGCAAGGCAGUCUCUUGAACCACACUGAGGAAGACCUCAUCAAGUCAUUCUAACCCCUCCCAUGGCUUCC